rnacentral:rRNA from 1 species
CAUUCAGUUGCCAUCGGGUAAUGCCGGGCACUCUGGAAGGACUGCCAUCGACAAGAUGGAGGAAGGUGGGGAUGACGUCAAGUCAUCAUGGCCCUUAUGUCCAGGGCGACACACGUGCUACAAUGGCCGGCACAACGGGAAGCGAGUUCGCGAGGACGAGCGGAUCCCUCAAAGCCGGUCGCAGUUCGGAUUGAAGUCUGCAACUCGACUUCAUGAAGCUGGAAUCGCUAGUAAUCGUGGAUCAGCCAAGCCGCGGUGAAUACGUUCCCGGGCCUU